GACGGAGGGUGCUAGCGUUGCUCGGAAUUACUGGGCGUAAAGCGCGUGUAGGCGGAUUGGUGUGUCAGAUGUGAAAUCCCUGGGCUCAACUCAGGAACUGCACCUGAAACUACCAGUCUUGAGUGGUGGAGAGGGAAGUGGAAUUCCUGGUGUAGAGGUGAAAUUCGUAGAUAUCUGGAGGAACACCGGUGGCGAAGGCGGCACCCUGGACCGACACUGACGCUGAGGAGCGAAAGCCAGGGGAGCAAACGGG
rnacentral:rRNA from 1 species